UACGUAGAUCCAAGCGUUGUCCGGAUUUACUGGGUGUAAAGGGUGCGCAGGCGGACUUAUAAGUCAGUGGUGAAAUCUCACAGCUUAACUGUGAAACUGCCUUUGAUACUGUAAGUCUUGGAUCCGGGAGAGAAUUGUGGAAUUCCGAGUGUAGAGGUGAAAUUCGUAGAUAUUCGGAAGAACACCAGGUGGCGAAGGCGGCUCACUGGCG
rnacentral:rRNA from 1 species